rnacentral:rRNA from 1 species
ACCUGGUCAAACACUGGUCAAAGCCUGGUCUCAUCAGAUCUCAGAAGCUAAGCAGAGCUGGGCCUGGUUAGUACCAGUAGUAGUGGGAGACCACUGGUAAUAUCAGGUG